AUAAGUUCCGCCCUCUACCUUCGUCACAUCCUCUUUCCGUUGCUCUCCUCGCUCAGAGAAUCUCUCCACACGAUGAGAGCCAAGUGGAGGAAGAAGCGUAUGCGCAGGCUGAAGCGUAAAAGGAGAAAGAUGAGGCAGAGGUCAAAGUAAGCCCUCAUCCCCGCCAGCUGUGAUCCUGUCGGAGCCUCUCCAGAUGACUGACGCAUGUGGCUGAAGUGGAGCCUCCAUCACUGGAACGAAGGCCUAAAGCCCUGACUUCAGAUGACAGCGCAUCUCAUGGAGCCUGCUGUGAACGUCUGACGGGAAGAGGCAAAGAUGCUGGACCAACUCUGAACAUCAGAACUACAGCUGUCUUGUUCAUGGACCAUAAUACAUUUUGUUCAGCAACAACUGAUGUGGUGGUGUAUUGAACAAUAAAUGAACACUGUUAAAAAUUUA